GCCCGCGUAGCUCAACUGGAUAGAGCAUCUGACUUCGGAUCAGAGGGUUGAGGGUUCGAGUCCUUCCGCGGGUA
rnacentral:tRNA from 1 species